rnacentral:lncRNA from 1 species
UUCUGCGAAAUGCCGACCCGGACAUCGUCUAUAGGGCGGCGACCGUGGCCGUCGGGGGUAGCUCGGUGAGUCGCAUCGAUCAUGCUGCAACGCAAGGUCCGUGGGUUCAUAUAUCGUAGCUGUAUUGCGUUCUCAAUCCACUGAAUUCCAUGCUUGGACCAAAAUUCGGUAGUAUAUAUAACAAUCCAACUCCAACACUGCUGGUUUCAAGUUUCAACAAGCGAAUCCAUUAAUCUGAAGCAAACAGCUGAAACCAAUAGUGUCUGCACUUGAAUGGAAACCAUGUUUAACAUUCACUGACAAAACAAGGCGAUAAUUUCACUUGUUUAUUAUUUUCCCCAAGCUUGUAAAGCUUGAGCAUACAUAAUACUUUAAGAAGCAUCCACAAUGAAGAUGAACUGAGAAGAACUUUCCUAAAAAACAUAUGUAAAGUUCAAAAUGCGAAUCUGUUGGGCACUGUACACAAAUAAAGUAAGGCUAAUCAGAACUAGUGCUUCUAGUGAAGCUGGAAAAAUUGAAUCUCUGUGUAAAGUACAAUAUUAGCUACCAUGUGGAAUUUAUCCACUCGUGGUUGACUUUCAUGUGUCCAGGUCAGCAUUUAUACUGGCCAGGCAGGAGACUGCUUCCAUGAUAGUUGGCCUCCUGAAUUGAUUAUGAUCGACACACCUGCAAGCAGUUUGAAGCACCUUCAGCAUUUGCUCUUCAUACCCUGUUCCUUUAAGUGUUGGAUCCAGGACCUCAAUCUGCUUAUCCUCAGACCUCAUCUGUAGAACCCACGGGACAAGUUCUUUUGACGUAGACAGGACUGGAAUAGGUCGCCUCCAUGUGAGCAGCUCAAGAAGGACUACCCCGAAACUGUACAUAUCACCUCUUAACGUAGCAACCCAUGCUUGCCCAUACUCAGGGGGAAUGUAACCCGUUGUGCCAACUAACUCAGUUGUGACAUGUGUUUGGUUGGGAAGGAUCAAUCUGGCUAGCCCAAAGUCUGCAACAUAAGCUUUAAAUUCUUUGUCCAGUAGGAUGUUGCUGGAUUUGAUGUCACGAUGGACAAUCUGAGGCUUGCAGACAUCAUGGAUAUAAGAAAGGCCCAGGCUCGCUCCUUGUGCAAUCUUGAGCCGAGUCGGCCAGUCAAGACAGGAAUUGGCAUCAUCAUCCCUGUUAUGAAGCCAAUCAUCCAGGCUGCCAUUCUCCAUGUAAGAAUAAAUGAGCAGCCUUGAGUUUCCCUGUGCGCAGUAACCCCACAAUGGUACAAGAUUUUCAUGCUGUGCCAUGGAGAGUGCAUCAACCUCUGCUCUAAAUUCUCUUUCCAUCAGAAACAUUUCACCAUUGAGCUUUUUGAUUGCCAGCUUGGAUCCAUCAGGUAGCUCUGCCUUGUAGACUAAUCCAUAAUCUCCAUAUCCAAUGAUGUUCUCCUUGUCAAAGUUGUUCGUAGCUUUCACAAUGUUGGCGAAUUUGAGCUUGUUUUCUUCCCCUUUUCCUUGUGGCCUCUGCAUCACCACUAGUGUUUGCUCUGAACUAGAGUAGAAUGAAGUUGCCUCAUUGCCUCCGUUAUUCUUCCUUCGACUUUUUGCUGUAAAACCCUUCAUCCUGACUGAGACAAGGAGACGCCCCAGCAACAAAAGAAAAGCAAUACCUCCAAAGAACACACCAAAUGCAACUGCAAAAAUGACCUUAUUUCCUUGUUUUCUUGGAACUAGAGGUGUUGAAGCUGGACGACAUUUGUGAGUGAGCAUAGAGCCACAGAGCUUUGGAUUCCCAUCGAAACUAGAAUUUUGAAAUGUAUUAAACUGGCCUCCAGAUGGAAUAGGCCCUUCUAGGUCAUUGUUCGAAAUGUUGAAUGCUGAAAGGAAGUGCAGGCUAUUCAAUGCAGCUGGGAUAGCACCUGUGAGAUUGUUGCUGGACAAGUCUAGCACCUGCAAGUUUGUGAGGUUGCAAACCGAUUGUGGGAUCUGCCCGGAUAACUUGUUGAAACUGAAAUCAAGUAGAACAAGCACUUUCAACUGACCAAUCCGUGGGGGGGUCACACCUGUGAAGUAGUUGUUGCUUAGAUUCAACACUGUCGGGAAAGAUGUAACAACGCGGUAUUGAAGUGAUGGACCAUCAUAAACAGGCAGCUCAAAGACCCUUGGCCUUGCCUUCCAAUGAGUUGCGUUUUCAAUUGAUUUUAGCAUUGGCAUUUCCAUUAAGGUUAACGGGAUUUCACCUGUAAGAUUGUUGUUUGACACAUCCAUGUACAAGAGAUGGCUUAGGGAGUUGAUCCAGCCUGGUAUUGGUCCAGUGAGUUGAUUGCUAGUUAAAAAUAACAUCUCCAAAUUUGCGAGCCUUGAUAUCCAAUGAGAUAUUUUCCCAAACAAUGGGCAUUCUUCGAUGUCCAAAAUCUGAAGAUUCUCAAAACCAUUAAGCCAGUCAUCCUCUGGCAUGAGUUCUCCCUUGAAGUUCUGCCCAAUAAGUAAGGUUGUAAGGUUUGUACAGCUCUGAAGGAUUCGAAGUGCAUCUGUGAUGUUUUUGAAAGAAUUUUUAGCAAGUGACAGGAAAGUGAGGUGCUUCAGAUCACCUAUUCGUGGUGAAAGCUGCCCAUUUAAUUUGUUGCCAGAUAGUCGCAGUGCAAUCAGAUUGCUGCAAGAGUAUAUGCUCUCGGGAAUUUUGCCACUGAAGUUGUUGUACAGAAGGUCUAAAGUUUUUAGUUUGGGCAGGUUGGAGAAAUUGACCUUGGUAAGUUCUCCAGUAAAAUUGUUGCUCCUGAGGUCAACUGUUAUGAGAUUUGUGCAGUUGCUCAGAGCUGAUGGCAGCUCCCCGGACAUGUUGUUGUGAUCUAGGUGGAGCUCCUCUAGUUUCUUUAGCUCAGCUAUAGAAUAUGGAAUAUUGCCACUGAAGCUAUUCCCUCCAAGAUCAAGAGUAGACAGAUUUCUGAGGUUGCUUAUGUGUGCACCAUCAAGUACUCCAUGUAAAUCAUUGUUAGGAAAAGAGAGGUGCUCUAAUGAAGUAGCAUUGAAGAGUUCAUCUGGAAGUGUUCCACUGAGGUUGUUGUACCCGGCCCUGAGCUCUCUCAGCUUGGAGCAAUCACCAAGUCAUUGGGGGAUGUUGCCACUGAAUUUAUUUAAACACAGAUCAAGCACAGCGAAUGAUGGUGAGCUGUUACAGAAAUGAGUUGGUAUGUCCCCUGUAAAGCUGUUAUUACUGGCAUUGACUACAAUCAGAUUCUUCAUUUCUUUCCAUGUGGUGGAUGGCAACUGUCCUGAAAAUAAGUUGCUUGAGAUGUUCAGUACCUGGAGAGGCCGGGCAUGGUUUGAUGAUGGCAGCUUGUGGAGUGUUCCAUUGAGCUGGUUAAAGCUGACAUCAAGUAUGGUGAUGCUGCUGGACGACACCAAUUCCACUGGCAGACCACCGGACAGCAAGUUGCACGACAGGUUGAGGCGCAAGAGGCUGGUGAGGUUGCCAAGGAACGGUGAGAUGGACCCCUCGAGGCCUUGAGAAGCCAGUGAAACACCAGUGACCGUCCUAUUAUAACUGCUGCAGGUGAUCCCUUUCCAAGUGCAGCAAUCCGUGCCAUCCUGCCAUGCGGCAGCGAGGCCGCCGUCCCGCGAGAGCUCAGCAAGGAACUGGCGAAGGGAGGCCUCCUCGUGCUGUGUACAGGAACUGGUCGGAGAGGCCAAGGAGAUCAGCAGCACAAGAGCAAGACCAAGGGAAGGUAUGUGCAAUUUCUUGCUCUGUGUCAGGUUUGAAAACUGGAGUGUCUGCAUGGUUUUCUGGUGAAACUAGGAUNNNNNNNNNNNNNNNNNNNNNNNNNNNNNNNNNNNNNNNNNNNNNNNNNNNNNNNNNNNNNNNNNNNNNNNNNNNNNNNNNNNNNNNNNNNNNNNNNNNNNNNNNNNNNNNNNNNNNNNNNNNNNNNNNNNNNNNNNNNNNNNNNNNNNNNNNNNNNNNNNNNNNNNNNNNNNNNNNNNNNNNNNNNNNNNNNNNNNNNNNNNNNNNNNNNNNNNNNNNNNNNNNNNNNNNNNAAGAUCUUGCUCCCAUUAACAUUUUGGUCCUUGCAGUCGUAGUCAGCACAAAGGAAAAAAAUGGCUGGUUCACACUAUGACGUUUCACUCACGGCUGCCUGCUAUAAUCCACUGACAAGUCAAUUUCCCAAUCUUACUGAAUAUGGACCACACAGAAUAUUGCUUUUGCAGGCAUUCACUCAUUCUUGACCCAAUCUGUAUAUAAUUAUUACAGCAUGCCAUAAUUUACUUGACCUGACAUCACUUGUCUUACCGGCUUCGCUUCACCGAACAAAUCUCAUCUUUCCUCACUAAUACUAACCAAAAAAUAAUCAGUUCUUGAUGCAUCCUUUUGUGAACAGGAAAAAGUGCGCGUUCGAGAAAGAAACAGUUUGUGAAGAUUUUGCAAAGAUUCUACUGGCGACAGUAUGCCAGGAAGAUUCUACUGGUCGUGGAGGAGCUAGGGAAAGCUCGUAUAUCAUGCUGAGUGUGCAUUUUUGCUGUGUACUAGCUAAUUGCCCAUGCGUUGCAGCGGUGUAUAUGCAGAAAGUGCCUAACAUAUAUAUUUAGGGCAGCAUUUCAACUUUCUUUUAUGGGAUCCCUUCUUUUACUGUUAUAAACCAGUCUUCUUCUUCUUCUUCUUCAUCCUCAUCCNNNNNNNNNNNNNNNNNNNNNNNNNNNNNNNNNNNNNNNNNNNNNNNNNNNNNNNNNNNNNNNNNNNNNNNNNNNNNNNNNNNNNNNNNNNNNNNNNNNNNNNNNNNNNNNNNNNNNNNNNNNNNNNNNNNNNNNNNNNNNNNNNNNNNNNNNNNNNNNNNNNNNNNNNNNNNNNNNNNNNNNNNNNNNNNNNNNNNNNNNNNNNNNNNNNNNNNNNNNNNNNNNNNNNNNNNNNNNNNNNNNNNNNNNNNNNNNNNNNNNNNNNNNNNNNNNNNNGACUUGGAAACAUGUAACUAUCUUGUUUUGUUAACAUAAAGAGAACCAAACAUGGAUUAGUUAGCAAUAAUGAAAACAAUGAUUUACAAAGUUACUACUUGUGAGGGGAAGAGGAGUUUAUCUCGGCAACUGUCAUGAAAACCAAAGACUACAUACAUAAUUAAAAUGCAUCAUGUGUAAUAAUUCCUCUAUUUCAGAAUAUAAGGUACAUCAAUUUUCAUAAAAGUCAAAGGCUGUAGAAUAAAAUGUCUACAUGUGCAAUAUUUUUUUAAUAACUUUUUUAAUAAAAUAUGUAAAUACUUUUCAUGAUGGAUCCAAUGAUACAAAUUUGGUAUUAUAGAUAUUAGUUUUUUUCUAAGAACAUGAUAAAAAAUGCACAAGUUAAACUUUUGAAAAUAAUAAUACUAUAUCUAAUUAAUAAAAAAUAUGUAACAAAAUAUAUACAAUUAGAAAUUACGAUAAAAGUUUAACCCAAAAUACAAUUGCUCUAAAAUUUUGGACAGAGUACCUGCUAUGUACACAUGACAAUGUUUUGGUUGCACCCAGUCAUCCAUCCAGACCAUUAAUCAAAUAAGCAAGCCUUCGGAGACACAUUGAGAAGUGCUUCGUUGAAAGAAGCAUGUGGAGAACAGUUAUCACGAAGACAUCGCAUGGUGUACCUGGGUAUGAACCGAACAGUUAGCAAAUUCAAAAGCACCACAGAAGCAUCAUCCCUAGCUCAUAAUCGUUUGCAUAAAAGUACACUGAUUUUCACCCGUAAAAAAUGUACACUGAUUUCAUCAUCCACUGCCUAUGUUAAUUAUUAAUUCACGCUUAAAUGGAGGAAUCGACUCACGGACGGUUGGUUUCUCAAUCGAUAACACAUGUUUGUCCAUCACAUGCAUGCAUGUAGUUCCUGGAUCAUCCGCUGGAUGCUGUGCAAGAUUCGCAAUUUUCCAUCACACUCGGCCAUUACGUGAAACUACCGACCGCAAGACGUACGCCGGCGUCGGCGGAUAUAUCACGAUCAUGUCGUUGUCAUCGAACAGCUCUUGCAGUGUGCACUGAAACUUGCGAACACUGUCUUCAGUCGCCUCACUGCAUAGCCCGUUUUCUUAUCACAGAUCCGCACGCCGGUGCCCCGACAGCCAUGGCGGGUUGCUCUCCACCGAGAGCUCACUGGAGCGGCGGCCCGACGCCGGCAACUUUGCCGACCUGGACGCGGAGGAGUAGGACGUCGUCUCACUGGUCGCCUGCGGCCGGAGUAGCGGCACGACGGCACUAUGGAGCCAGGAUCCACGUCACACUCCUUGAGUCCGGCGUCUCCGUCACAGUUGACAAGGAUGGUUGGAAUCCGGAGGGUUGGAGGGCACGACGGCACUAUGGAGCCAGGAUCCACGUCACAUUUUCUUUUGCUGUAAUCCGUAGGGUUGGAGGGCCGUACCUGCCUAAUGGCAUGUCAAUCCUCGGCUCGCUGGCGGAGGACGAGGAUGUCGGCGUACGGUAGCGGGCUGAGGAUGAGGGAGAUGGGAUCUGGAGGAGCCUUCUAUUUCGGAUGGAGGAGGCGGCGGCUACGCAGCCCUAGGAGUGCGACGUGGGGAAGGAACGAAAAAACAGGAGGAGCAAUUAUUACGGAAACAAAUCAAUGAAAAACCAACCGUAGUUGUAUUGUGUUGUUAUAUCCAUUCAAUUCACGUGUGGUAUAAUGUUAAUCUGUUAUGCACGGUGAUUUCCUGACAUUCUAAACAUCGUAGUUGUAUUGUGUUGUUAUAUCCAUUCAAUUCACGUGUGGACCAAACAUCUGUACACUGCAGUAUCAACCAAUCCAACUCAAACUCUGGUGUUUUGUGAAUCAGUUAAUCCGAAGCAAACAGCUGAUAGAGCAUCGUAUAGUAUCUGCACUUGAAUGGAAAGCACUUUUAUUCUUUCACUGUGAAAACAAGGCAAUCAUUUUACUUGUUUAUUCUUUUUUUACACUCUUGGGAAGCUUGAGCAUGAAUAAUGCUUCAAGAAACAUCCGAAAGGAAGAUGAACUACAAAAAAAAAGCUUUUCUAGAAAAGUAAAUUAAGCUCAAAAUAACAACCUGUUGGGCGCUGUAAAACCCAACUGUAAGGUUAAUAAUAAGUAUUGGCUAGCUUUUAUGUCCGCAGAUCAGUGUCUAUACUGCCCAAGCAGGAGACCACUUCCAUGAUAGUUGGCCUCCUGAACUGAUUAUGAUUGACACACCUGCAAGCAGUUUCAAGCACCUUCAGCAUUUGCUCUUCAUACCCUGUUUCUCGAAGUGUUGGAUCCAGGACCUCAAUCUGCUUGCCCUCAGACCUCAUCUGUAGAACCCAUGGGACAAGUUCUUUUGUUGUAGACGAAACUGGAACAGGUCGCCUUCCUGUGAGCAGCUCAAGCAGGACUACCCCAAAACUGUAUAUAUCUCCUCUCAACGUAGCAACCCACGCUUGCCCAUACUCAGGGGGAAUGUAACCCAUAGUGCCGACCAACUCAGUUGUAACAUGAGUUUUGUUGGGAAGGAUCAAUCUGGCUAGCCCAAAAUCUGCAAGGUAAGCUUUAAAUUCUUUGUCCAAUAGGAUAUUACUGGAUUUGAUGUCACGGUGUACAAUUUGAGGCUUGCAGAUAUCAUGGAUAUAGGAGAGGCCUAGGCUGGCUCCUCGUGCGAUCUUGAGCCGAGUCGGCCAGUCAAGAAAUGAGCUAGUGCCAUCAUCUCUGUUAUGAAGCCAAUCAUCUAGGCUGCCAUUCUCCAUGUAGGAAUACAUGAGGAGCCUUGAGUGUCCCUGGACGCAGUAACCCCAGAGUGGUACAAGAUUUUCAUGCUGUGCCAUGGAGAGAGCAUCAACCUCUGCACUGAAUUCCCUUUCCAUCAGACACAUUUCACCGUUGAGCUUUUUAAUUGCCAAUUUGGAGCCAUCAUGUAGCUCUGCCUUGUAGACUAACCCAUAGCCUCCACACCCAAUGAUGUUCUCCUUGUCAAAGUUGUUCGUAGCUUUCAAAAUGUCAGAGAAUUUGAGCUUGUUUCCUUCUCCCUUGCCUUGUGGCAUGUGCAUCACUACUAGUGUUUCCUCUGAACUGGAGUAGAAUGAAGUCGCUUCAACAUCUCCGCUAUUCUUGCUUCCAUUUUUCUCUGUAAAACCCUUCAUCUUGACUGAGAGAAGGAGUCGCACCAGCAACAGCAGAAUAGCAAUACCUCCAAAGAACACACCAAAUCCAAUUGCGAAAGCAAAUUUCUUAUCUCGUUGUUUUCUGGAGGACGGGUGUAUUGAAGAAUCACAUUUGUGAGUGAGAAUAGAGCCACACAGCUUUGGAUUCCCAUCGAAACUAGAAUUCUGGAAUGUAUUGAACUGGCCUCCAGAUGGAAUAGGCCCUUCUAGGUCAUUGUUCGAAAUGCUGAAUGCUGAAAGGAAGUGUAGGCUAUUCAAUGCAGCUGGGAUAGCACCUGUUAGACUGUUGCUGGACAAGUCUAGCACCUGCAAGUUUGUGAGGUUGCAAAUCGACAGUGGGAUCUGUCCGGAUAACUUGUUGAAACUUAAAUCAAGUACAACAAGCACUUUCAACUGACCAAUCUGUGGGGGAAUCACACCAGUGAACUGAUUGUUGCUUAGAUUCAACACCGUUGGAAAAGAUGUAACAACACGGUAUUGAAGUGAUGGACCACUGUAAACAGGCAACUCAAAGACCCUUGGGUCCCAUUGAGUUGCAUUUUCAAUUGAUUUUAGCAUUGGCAUCUCCAUCAAGGUUAACGGGAUUUCUCCUGUAAGAUUGUUGUUUGACACAUCCAUAAAGAAGAGAUGGCUUAGGGAGUUGAUCCAGCCUGGUAUCGGUCCAGUGAGUUGAUUGCUAUUUAAAAGUAAGAUCUCCAAAUUUGUGAGCCUUGAUAUCCAUAGAGGUAUUUUUCCAGACAACUGGCAACUGUCAAUGUCCAAAACCUGGAGAUUCUCAAAGCCAUCAAUUCUGUCAUCCUCUGGCAUGAGCUCUCCCUUGAAGUUACUGCCGAUUAGCAGAGUGGUAAGGUUCCUGCAGAUCUUUAGGAUGUGAAGUGUGUUUGUGAUAUUGCUGAAAGAGUUUGUGGAGAGUGAUAGGAAGGUGAGGUUCUUCAGAUCACUUAUUCUUGGUGAAAGCUGCCCUAUUAAUUUGUUGGUGGAUACCCGUAGUGCAGUCAGAUUGCUGCAAGAGUAUAUGCUUUCUGGAACUGUGCCGUUGAAGUUGUUGAAGUAAACAUCUAAUGUCUUUAGAUUUGGCAGGUUGGAGAAAUUGACCUUGGCGAGCUGUCCACUGAAAUUGUUAUUCUUGAGGUCAAUUGCUACGAGAUUCGUGCAGUUGCUUAGAGCUGAUGGCAGCUCCCCUGACAAUUUAUUGUUGUCCAAAUGGAACUCCUCCAAUUUCUUGAGCUGGCCUAUGGAAUCUGGAAUCUCGCCACUGAAGUUGUUCCCUCCAAGAUCAAGUGUUACUAGAUUUCUGAGCUUGGUUAUGCGCACACCAUCAAGAACUCCAUUUAAAUGAUUAUUACGAAAAGACAGGUAUUCCAACAAAGUAGCAUUGAAGAGUUCGUCUGGGAUUUCUCCACUGAUGUUGUUGUACCCGACCCUGAGCUCUCUCAGCUUGGAGCAAUCACCAAUUUGUUGGGGGAUGUUGCCACUGAAUUUGUUUAAACACAGAUCAAGCACAGCGAAGGACGGUGAGCUGUUACAGAGAUAAGUUGGUAUGUGCCCUGUAAAGCUGUUGUUACUGGCAUUGAGUGCUCUCAGAUUCUUCAUUGCUUCCCAUGUGGUGGAUGGAAACUGUCCUGCAAAUAAGUUGCUCGAGAUGUUCAGUACCUGGAGAGGCUGGGCAGGGGUUGGAGAUGCCAGUUCGUGGAGUUUUCCAGUGAGCUGGUUAAAGCUAACAUCAAGUGUAGUGAUGCUGCUGGACGACACCAAUUCCAGCGGCAGGCCACCGGACAGCGAGUUGUGAGAGAGGUUGAGGCGCAAAAGGCUGGUGAGGUUGCCAAGGAACGGCGAGACGGACCCCUCGAGGCCUCGAGAAGCCAGCAAAACAUCAGUGACCGUCCUAUUAGGACUGCUGCAGAUGACCCCUUCCCAAGUGCAGCAGUCCUUGUUGCUCCGCCACGUCGCGGCGAGGCCGCCGUCCCACGAGAGCCCGGCAUGGAACUGGAGAAGGGAGGCCUCCUCAUGCUCGGUGCAGGAACUGGCCGGAGAGGCCAAGGAGACCAGCAGCACGAGAGCGAGGCCAAAGCAAGGUAUGUGCAAUUUCUUGCUCUGUGUCUUGUUUGAGCACUGGAGUGUCUGCAUGGUUUCCUGGUGAAACUAGGACGGAAACCAGAGCGUAUGUUGUGCCCUGCCUGGAUAAGACAUCAGUGGUGGUCUAUUCAUGAACACCAUGAGGGGGGAAGAAAGAUCUUGCUCCCAUUAUGCGUUGGUCCUCGCAGUCGUAGUCAGCACGAAGAAAAGAAUGGGUGGUUCACACUGUGUGACGGCUGCCUGCUAUAAUCCACUGACCAGUCAAUUUCCAAAUCUUACUGAAUAGUGACCGUACAAAAUAUUGCUUUUCUAGACCCUAAUAACUAAUUCCUGACCCAGUCUGUCUAGAAUUGUUACUUGAAGCGAUAAUUUUCUUGACCUGACAUGACUUGUCUUACCGGCUUCACCAAACAAUUCUCACAUUUUCCCACUGAUACUGACAACCAAAUAUCGGUUCUUGAUGCAGGAAAGAAAAGCAGGGCAUAAGAGAAAGAAACAGUAGGUGAAGAAGAUUUUGCGAAGAUUCUACCGGGCGAGACAAUGCGCCGGGAAGAUCGUACCGAAAGGCGCCUGCGAUUGAGAGCAAUCAUCAUGGUGUGUAGACAAAGGCCAAGUGGAGGGCAGGAAGAAAGUGCAGUUUCCUGGCUUCCUGGCUUAAUGGACGGGGUGGGUGGUCGAUCCGUGCGGUCUCCUCCAUCCCCUUCUUGACCCGGGGGCGUUUACUUGCCCUUGUCACGCGUGCGUGCGUGCGAGCUUCGUCUGAUGUUUACGUUUGCUCUUCUUUUGCCAUUCUCCUGGCUCCACUGGCGCACUAUAAUUGCGGACCGUGGACGGUGACGCUUUGUGGCUGUCAUCUGAAGUUUGAACCGUAACUUGGGGUGCUGGCAAUGGUGAUGCUAAGUACAGUUUUCUACUCCUAUUACUGUUGUUUUGGAAUGUUAAUUAGUUUACUUGAAUACAAAGGUGGUGUUGAUUAGUUUACUUGGAUAGGUCGACAGCUCCAAUUAUAUGGAUAAACCCUUUUUAAGAACUAUAUUAAGCGAAAUUGCC